rnacentral:lncRNA from 1 species
GCUUUGUUUACCCAAGCAAGCCUGGGCAAUGGCGGGCGCCCCUCCCCCAGCCUUGCUGCGGCCUUGCAGUUUGAUCUCAGACUGCUGUGCUAGCAAUCAGCGAGACUCCGUGGGCGUAGGACCCUCCUAGCCAGGUGCAAGAUAUAAUCUCGCGGUGCGCCGUUUUUUAAGCCGGUCCGAAAGCGCAAUAUUCGGGUGGGAGAGACCCGAUUUUCCAGUGAGAUGAACCCAGUACCUCAGAUGGAAAUGCAGAAAUCACCCGUCUUCUGCGUCGCUCACGCUGGGAGCUGUAGACCGGAGCUGUUGCUAUUCGGCCAUCUUGGCUCCUCUCCUGCACUGCAAGAAUGGACUAAUACGCUAUGUGAAGACAAAGGGGAUGUCUGCAAGCCAGGACGAGUGCGUCUACCAGAAACUGAGUUCUGCUGGACUUUGAUCUAGGACAUCCAGCCUCCAGAAUGGAAUGUGCCAUAUGUGGAGACCUGCAUGGAAAGGAACUGAGGAUGCUCUCUCACUAAAAGCUAGAAGGAACUGAGGCCCUCAGUCAACAGUCUACAAGACACUGAAUCUUGCCAGCAGCCAAGCAGUGAGCUUGAAAGCAGAUCUAUCAUCAGCUGAACCUUCAGAUGAGACCGCAGCCUAAGCAGAUACCUUGGUUGCAGCCAUGUGAGACAACCUGAAACAGAGGGCACAGCUAAGCCUCAGCCAGGUUCAUGACCCUCUGAGGAAACUGUGAGAAAGCAAAUGUCAUUUUAAGCUAUUUAAUUUUGGAGGUAGUUUAUUACACAACAAUAAAUAACUAUUAUAAUUAUCUUGAGGAUUUAUUUCCUGGGGAGAAUACAUGGAAUUGCAUAUAUAGGUCCUCAUAUGCAGAAUACUGGUACCCUAGAGAUGUUCACCCCAGAGAUGUUUUAGGAACCUGUGAAUAUGUUACAUUAAAUGGCAAAGUUUUCCUGGAUGGUUUAAGUUUAAGAUGGAAAAGUUUUACUGGAUUAUCCAGUGGGUCCAAUCUAGUAACAUGAGUCCUUAAAAAUGGAGAAUAUUUUUUGGCCAUGAUCAGAGAGACAUGUGAUGAUGGAAAAAGUGUCAGAGAUGCAAUGUGAGGGGACUAAAACUGCUGUUGCUGACUUUAAAGAUGGAGAGAGGGGAACCCGAGUCAAGGAAUGCAAAUGGCCUCUGGAAGCUGGAAAAAGCAAGAAAUGGAUUCUCCUUUAGAGCCUGUGGAAUAAAAUGCAGUCAUGCUGACACCUUGAUUUUACCUCAGUGAGACCAAUACUGGAGUAUGACCUUCGGAGCUGAAUAAAAUUAUACGUACACAUCUUAAUUUCUUGGGAUUUGAUUACUUCUUCUGCUUUGAAAUUAGACCAAGUUUAGCCUGCCUUUGCUAUUUUGGCGUAUCUCCAAUUCUUCAUGAUUUUCUCAUUGUUGCCUCCAUAUGAUGCAAAAUAUCCAACCUAGCCCUGACAUGAAAACUUAAUUGAAAGUAUCCAACAGUGGCGCAAAGGCCACAUAAGGACAGUGAGAAGGCAGCCACCUGCAAGCCAGGAAGAAAGGUCUCACCAGAUACCAACCCUGCCAGCAUGUUGAUCUUGGACUUCCAGCCUCCAAAACUGGCCUUCUGCUCACAUGGGCUUCCGUGCACCUGCUUCAGGAGACAGCAACACUUGCGCCCGCACCGCGGCAGGCUCCCAUCACCUGGUGGAUAUGCCGCGCCGAGUCUCAUCACACCUUAGUGAAGGAACACAUGGACCCAUAUGUUAGCGGAUGUAUUUACAUCGUUUUAUACAGAAAGGGGAAAUGGAGUCUUGCUCUGUCACACAUGCUAGAGUCCAGUGGUAUGACCUCAGCUCACUGCAAUCUCUGCCUCCCGGGUUCAAAUGAUUCUUCUGCCUUGACCUCCCUGGCAGCUGGGACUACAGGCCUGCACCACCACGCCUGGCAAAUUUUUUAAUUUUUUUUAGUAGAGAUGGGGUUUCACCAUGUUGGCCAGGCUAGUCUCGAACUCCUGACCUCAAAUGAUCUGCCCGCUUUGGCCUUCCAAAGUUCUGGGAUUAUAGGAGUGAGCCACCAUGCCCAGCCUGUUCUUAAGUCUCCUAGAACAGGGAUUCUGAAACACAAAACUCAUCUGGUGAGAAGAAUGAGAGCAAGAGAGGUUAAAUGGGUCGUUCAAGUUCAUAAAGUACUGACAGAAGAUGACCCUGAACUGUUCUCACUAUAUUAAAAGUCAGACAAGUAUUAUUAUUAUUAUUACUAAUAUAAGUAGCUCCAAUUUAUGUGAUUCUCAUGAUUUGGAGGACCUUACCUAUAUUAGCUUAUUUAAUCUACACAGCAAACCUAGAUGGUAAAUAUUUUCAUUGCCAUUUUACAGAGGAGGAACUGAGGUUCCUGAGGGUUAGGAAACUUGUAACAUGAACUCCAUACAGAUAUACAGAAUGAUAUAAACAAAUAAACAAAUACAUAAAUGUGGAAGAAGUAAAAGCUCUUCCUUGGAGUAAAAGGCCACCUAAUAAAUGAGGCAGGAAUGAUAAAAUUAGAGAAAUCAUUUGCAAACAUCACAGUAUUAAUUGCUUAAAGGAAGAAUUAUAAAUAGAUAAUAAAGCUAGUGGGUGAAACAUUAAUGGGACUAAGAUAUUUAUCUAGCCCCAAAAGUUUUGCUCCAUAAAAAUACUUACUUAGGCUGGGCAUGGUGGUGCACACCUGUAAUUCUAGCACUUUGGGAGGCCGAGGUGGAAGGAUUACUUGAGCUUAAGAGUUCAAUGGCAGCCUGGACAACAUAGUGAGACCGCAUCUCUAAAAAAAAAAUUAGCCAGGUGUGGUAGUGCGUGUAUGUAUUCUCAGCUACUCAGGAGGCUGAGGUAGAAGGGAUCGCUUGAGCCCCAAGUUGAGGCCACAGUGAGCUGAGAUUGCACCACUGCACUCCAGCCUGGGUUACAGAGAGUGAUCCUGUCUCAACAAUAAAAUAAAAUAAAAUGAAAAAAAUAUUUAUUACAAAUGAAAAAAAUGACAUGUUUACACUGGAGAGGCCUACAGGCAUCAUCUUAACCAAUGAUCAAAGUUAAUAUCUACACGAAUAGGACAAAUAAUAUCAUUUCCCUCCUGACCUCAUGCAUGUUUAAAACACAACAUAACUUCUUGGUUAUUUCUGUCAAGAGUGCAUAACCUGAAACUAAUCAUAAGAAACCACCAGAUGACCCCACGAUGAGAGGUAUACUAAAAAAUAACUAAGCUAUUAUUUUAUUUUAUUUAUUUUUUGAGACAGAGUCUUGCUCUGUUGCCCAGGCUGGAGUGCAGUGGCGCAAUCUCAGCUCACUGCAACCUCAGCCUCCUGGGUUCAAGAGAUUCUCCUGCCUCAGCCUCCCAAGUAGCUGGGAUUACAGGCUUCUUUUUGUAUUUUUAGUAGAGAGGGGGUUUCACCAUGUUGGCCAGGCUGGUCUCAAACUCCUGACCUCAGGUGGUCCACCCACCUCGGCCUCCCAGUUUUGGGAUUAUAUGCGUGAGCCACUGCACUCAGCCACCAGACUUUUUUUUUUUUCUUUUUACUUUUUUUGAGACAGCAUCUCCCUCUGUCGCCCAGGCUGGAGUGCAAUGGCACAAUCUUGGCUCACUGCGACCUCCGCCUCCCAGGUUCAAGUGAUUCUCCUGUCUCAGCCUCCUGAGUAGCUGGAACUACAGGCGCCCGCCACCACGCCCGGCCAGUUUUUGUGUUUUUAGUGGAUAUGGGGGUUUCACCAUGUCGGUCAGGCUGGUCUCGAACUCCUCACCUCAGGUGAUCUGCCCGACUCAGCCUCCCAAAGUGCUGGGAUUAUAGAUGUGAGCCAUCGUGCCUGGCCUAUUUUGAAAGCAACAUAUAAUCCAACUUUUUCUUUUGUUAUAAAGAGCAAUAUAGGAACAAGGAGUGAAACACCAAGGCAAUUUGACAGUUAAAUGGUAGAAGUAGAUCAGUGUUAAUUUCCUGAUUUUGUAAUUAUACUGUGGUUAUGUAACAGAAUGUUCUUGUUUUAGAAAGUACACAUUGAAUAAUCAAUGGUCAUCUUGUCUGUAACUUAAUUUCAAAUGUUUCAAUAAAAAUAUGUGUAUGUUUGUGAGUGAUAAAACAAAU